rnacentral:rRNA from 1 species
AGAGUUUGAUCAUGGCUCAGGAUAAACGCUGGCGGCGUGCCUAAUGCAUGCAAGUCGCACGGAGUCAUCCUUCGGGGUGAUUGAGUGGCGAACGGGUGAGGAACGCGUGGACAACCUACCCCGGCGCGGGGGAUACCCGCCAGAAAUGGCGGCUAAUACCGCGUACGGUUGCCGGACGAGAGGUCUGGCAAAGAAAGCAGAGAUGCGCGCUGGGAGGGGUCUGCGACCGAUUAGCCAGCUGGUGGGGUAACGGCCUACCAGGGCGAUGAUCGGUAGCUGGUCUGAGAGGAUGAUCAGCCACACGGGGACUGAGAGACGGCCCCGACUCCUACGGGAGGCAGCAGCAAGGAAUUUUCCGCAAUGGGGGCAACCCUGACGGAGCAACGCCGCGUGACGGAUGACGCCUCUUGGGGUGUAAACGUCUUUUGCCGAGGGAGGGAAUGGACGGUACUCGGCGAAUCAGGACCGGCUAACUACGUGCCAGCCGCCGCGGUAAUAC